AUUGAACGCUGGCGGCAUGCUUUACACAUGCAAGUCGAACGGUAACAGGCCUUCGGGCGCUGACGAGUGGCGAACGGGUGAGUAAUGCAUCGGAACGUGCCCAGUCGUGGGGGAUAACGCAGCGAAAGCUGCGCUAAUACCGCAUACGAUCUGUGGAUGAAAGCGGGGGACCGUAAGGCCUCGCGCGAUUGGAGCGGCCGAUGUCAGAUUAGGUAGUUGGUGGGGUAAAGGCUCACCAAGCCGACGAUCUGUAGCUGGUCUGAGAGGACGACCAGCCACACUGGGACUGAGACACGGCACAGACUCCUACGGGAGGCAGCAGUGGGGAAUUUUGGACAAUGGGGGCAACCCUGAUCCAGCAAUGCCGCGUGCAGGAAGAAGGCCUUCGGGUUGUAAACUGCUUUUGUACGGAACGAAACGGCUCUGGUUAAUACCUGGAGCUAAUGACGGUACCGUAAGAAUAAGCACCGGCUAACUACGUGCCAGCCGCCGCAGUAAGAC
rnacentral:rRNA from 1 species